UUCGGAUGAAGUCUUUUGUGACUGAGUGGCGGACGGGUGAGUAACGCGUGAGUAACCUGCCUGCGAGAGGGGGAUAACAACGGGAAACUGUUGCUAAUACCGCAUAACGCAUCGAUUCCGCAUGGAGAUGAUGCCAAAGGGAAACCGCUUGCAGAUGGACUCGCGUCUGAUUAGGUAGUUAGUGAGGUAACGGCUCACCAAGCCGACGAUCAGUAGCCGGACUGAGAGGUUGAACGGCCACAUUGGAACUGAGAUACGGUCCAGACUCC
rnacentral:rRNA from 1 species